UACGGAGGGGGCUAGCGUUGUUCGGAAUUACUGGGCGUAAAGCGCACGUAGGCGGCUUUGUAAGUUAGAGGUGAAAGCCCAGGGCUUAACCCUGGAAUUGCCUUUAAGACUGCAUCGCUAGAAUUGUGGAGAGGUAGGUGGAAUUCCGAGUGUAGAGGUGAAAUUCGUAGAUAUUCGGAAGAACACCAGUGGCGAAGGCGACUUACUGGACACAUAUUGACGCUGAGGUGCGAAAGCGUGGGGAGCGAACAGG
rnacentral:rRNA from 1 species